GCCGGGAUAGCUCAGCUGGGAGAGCAACAGACUGAAGCGGCUUACGUCAGAUUUCUGGAGGUCGCGUGUUCAAUCCACGCUCCUGGCA